rnacentral:lncRNA from 10 species
CUCUUCCUGCUCGGCGGGGUCGCGGCGGCCCCCGCUCUAGAGAGCGUGCGCCAGGGGGAAACGCAGGAGCCACGGGUGUGGCACAGAACGGAGCCCAGGGCCACAGCUGAGAGUCUUAGGAAACCCGGGAACCUGGAUGCAGGUGCGGUGGCUGGGAAGGACUGCGCCCUUUGGGAACCGUCUGGUCGACCGCGCCUUCUCUAAGCCAGCAGCACAGUUCCCACGUUUUCCUGCGGUCUUGUCAACAAAACUGCUGUUUGAGAUCUGUUUCCUACAACUAAUAAGGGAUUUGCAUUUCCAUUUCUUCGUUCUCACUGAAGCAACCGAAGCAAGUGGUAUAAUGCAGCUUUUCUACUUGAUUAAAAACCGCCAGGGCGCUGGACGCGGUGGCUCACGCCUGUAAUCCUAGUACUUUGGGGGGCCGAGGCGGGUGGAUCACCUGAGGUCAGGAGUUCAAGAC